rnacentral:rRNA from 1 species
AACGAACGCUGGCGGCAUGCCUAACACAUGCAAGUCGAACGAGACCUUCGGGCCUAGUGGCGCACGGGUGCGUAACGCGUGGGAACCUGCCCUUAGGUUCGGAAUAACUCCCCGAAAGGUGUGCUAAUACCGGAUAAUGUCUUCGGACCAAAGAUUUAUCGCCUUUGGAUGGGCCCGCGUUGGAUUAGCUAGUUGGUAGGGUAAAAGCCUACCAAGGCGACGAUCCAUAGCUGGUCUGAGAGGAUGAUCAGCCACACUGGGACUGAGACACGGCCCAGAAUCCUACGGGAGGCAGCAGUGGGGAAUAUUGGACAAUGGGCGAAAGCCUGAUCAAGCAAUGCCGGGUGAGUGAUGAAGGCCUUAGGGUUGUAAAGCUCUUUUACACGGGAUGAUAAUGACAGUACCGGGAGAAUAAGCUCCGGCUAACUCCGUG